rnacentral:rRNA from 1 species
GGUUGCGAUCAUACCAGCACUAAUGCACCGCAUCCCGUCAGAACUCCGCAGUUAAGCGUGCUUGGGCGAGAGUAGUACUACGAUGGGUGACCCCCUGGGAAGUCCUCGUGUUGCAACCCC